rnacentral:rRNA from 1 species
UACGUAGGCAGCAAGCGUUGUUCGGAGUUACUGGGCGUAAAGGGUGUGUAGGCGGUUCUUUAAGUUUGGGGGGAAAUCUCCCGGCUCAACUGGGAGGGUGCGCCGAAUACUGAGGGACUAGAGUACGGGAGAGGAAAGUGGAAUUCCUGGUGUAGCGGUGAAAUGCGUAGAUAUCAGGAGGAACACCGGUGGUGUAGACGGCUUUCUGGACCGUAACUGACGCUGAGACACGAAAGCGUGGGUAGCAAACAGG